AGAAGGUUCACUUCCUGUGAACCAGGAAGUGGGUCCCGAGCAGACGCCAAAUCUCCAGGACCGGAAGUUCCAUGAAGGACAGAGAUUGUCUAAUUCUUUUCCUCUGCACCCAGAAGAGCCUGGCACAUGCUAUUUCAAGAAGUCGAUCCUGACAGCUCUUUUGCUUCCACAAACAAAAUGAAUACAGCAAGAAUCAUUACCAUGAGGAUGGCACCAAGCCAUUCGUGAGGGAUCCGACAUGUGACCCAAACACUUCUUGGUAGGUCUCACCUGCAACGUUGGGAAUAUGUGUCAACAUGAGACUCGGCCAAAUCAAACAAACCAUAUUCAAACCAUAGCAUCGUCUUACCAGCCACCCUGCACUUUAUACAACUGUUGCCUUGGACAUUAUGAAUAAUUGGAACACACAUCUGCCUCUUCCUACUAGCAAACCUUCGUGUACACCAUCCUAGGAGGCCUUUUGCUCCCCUCUCUACUCCGCGUGUUUGAACACCAUGAAAGGCCCAGCCCAUCCCUGUCUCUUUUGUGGAGACUUCCCGACUUCCUUUGUCACAGAGGUGCUCCCUUUGUCUUGUGUUGUUCAAAGCCUAUGUUCUGUCCAUGAACACACCCUGCCUGCAAUUAUAUGGUGUGCUUUAAGAGAUCUUAUUAGACAGACGUUCCUGGAGAAGGGUAUUUUGCUCACGUUGAUCCUGCAUAGUGAGUAACACAGUGUCUUUUAUCUAAUACUCCAUAAUUUGUGGUGGUAAUGAUGGUGGUGGUGGAGAGAAUGAACCCAAAUCUCUCUUCCGAAGCCAUUUUUUGACAUAUCUACCAUACGUUGAAGAAUACUGACAUUGACGACAUUUCCAGCUGGAGGCCAGAAACGAGCUUACCUUGGUUCACUAAAAAAUAGAAUAAUAAUCUCUGGGGAGGACUUUCAAAUUUAAAAAGGAAUUUCCUGUUAUUUUAACCAGUAGCUGGAAUAUACAUUAUCAUCCUUGUUUGACUGGAAAAGCAACUACAGCACAAUGUCAAAUAGUGAGUUAGAUAGGAAGCUGAGCACAGCAUCCACAUGGAGCUCAGUGGUUUGCAAACUUAUGCGGAACUGACAAUCACCCCAAGCUCAACCCUGGAAAGUUGCAUUCAGUGAGUCAAGGAUGAGAUCCUAGGAAAUCACAUCUACGAUGAGCUUCUCAGUUGUUUCUGAUUGUAGCUGAAGUGCACUUAGAGACACCCAGCAGUGGGGGCUCUUUCUGCUAUCCUGUCAGGGGACCUUCUCCCAGGACGACAUCAGUUCUUUGUGGUGAGUGACACAAAAUAGGCCUCCAGAGCAUACCCCUUCCCUCAGUCAAGAGUGCUCAGUCUUCGUGGACAAAAGAACACCUACAAGCCGUCAGCCCAGGCUGGCCAUCUGGAGAGAGAGGGCUGAGCACUACUGUGUAUGUUUGGAACUCUUCCCUAGGGUUUCCCUGUGCAUGUGCCUUGCCCAUUAAGUCUUCAGUCUCCUAAAAUGCAGCCCCUGCUUCCCUCACCUUGGUUCAGCUACUUCUUGACCCAUGACUUAAAGCAUUUCUUUGAUUUGGUCCUCUUAUCUACCCAGAUCUCUGAUAUCUGACGCUCCUAACAUGUAUACCAGAAACCCAGAAUUAGGAUUCAUACACUUGUCCUCAUAAAGGCAUGACUCUGGCCAUCUGAACCAGUCUCCUCUCACCUCAGACACACCCAUUGCAUCUCACAGGCCUUGCCUCACUCAGCACCCUGUCCAAUUUACCAACACACAAACGUGCUUCCAUUUUGGGUUGUCAUGACUAUGUCAUUAGAACUUUAUGAUCGCGAAACAGAUAUGCAAAUAAGUGCAAAUUGAACACCAUCUGCUGAAUCUCUAGGAUUCUCAUCAUUACAUAAAUGACCAAGGUAUUGGCUCAAAAAGAAAAGAUGCCUGUCAGCCUCCUGGAAGAUUCCUCAGCAGAAACUUUUGCCAUCAAGAAGAUGUAAAACAAAAUCCAUGUCCCAAGGGAAAGUAAUAGACACAUAGGGAAGCAGCAGAAAAUCUCAUUACUUAAAGGUUGAUUUUUAUCUAAUGGUACAAGUGAAUAGCAGCAGGCUUCCGAGGGGAGGCAGCAUAAGCAGGGAGGCUGAUAGUUUUGUUAAUUCUUAUAUCUAUUUUUUCAUAUAUAACCAGCUGUGUUUUUGUUUAUUUUUUAGUACUUAUAUACAUUCUCUCAAAGCUGCUGACAAACAGCACAACUAUAUUGCAGGCAAAACUACACAAUCUCUAUGAGUCUUUAUAUUGGCUUUGUUGACUGGUAAUGGAUAACAUUUCAACUACUGGCCAUCUCCAAAGAGCAGAUGCCAAGUAUUCAGUGGUGUAUGCUAUGUGGCUGUCAGGGGUGGUAAGAGCUCAGUACACCUAUAAGCCAUUCCAGAAGCUCCUUCAGAACCAUUCAGUGAGCUCCCUGGAAAAGUUAACCUUUACUUUUUAUCUACGUGGAUGCCAUACAACUUGCUUGUUACAUCAAGGAAAAAAGGAGAGAGUCAAAAAGCAUAACUGGCAAAGUACCAGUCCAGACUCAGGAAAUGCAACCAAUCUCUAAUACUUUGAAGUUGUAACAUCAGUAAAAUACGACAUCCUGGCAAUCCGCGGUGGGGGAUGCAAAUCCACCCAUGAGCAAGUCUCUGGGGAAAAGGUUGGGCACAGUGGCUUGGGCUUGUAAUCCCAGCUACUCAGGAGGCUAAGGCAGGAGGAUUGCUUGAGGCCGGGAGUUCAAGACUACCCUGGGCAAAAUAGUG